rnacentral:rRNA from 1 species
GGUGCUAACGUCCGUCGUGAAGAGGGAAACAACCCAGACCGCCAGCUAAGGUCCCAAAGUCAUGGUUAAGUGGGAAACGAUGUGGGAAGGCCCAGACAGCCAGGAUGUUGGCUUAGAAGCAGCCAUCAUUUAAAGAAAGCGUAAUAGCUCACUGGUCGAGUCGGCCUGCGCGGAAGAUGUAACGGGGCUAAACCAUGCACCGAAGCUGCGGCAGCGACGCUUAUGCGUUGUUGGGUAGGGGAGCGUUCUGUAAGCCUGCGAAGGUGUGCUGUGAGGCAUGCUGGAGGUAUCAGAAGUGCGAAUGCUGACAUAAGUAACGAUAAAGCGGGUGAAAAGCCCGCUCGCCGGAAGACCAAGGGUUCCUGUCCAACGUUAAUCGGGGCAGGGUGAGUCGACCCCUAAGGCGAGGCCGAAAGGCGUAGUCGAUGGGAAACAGGUUAAUAUUCCUGUACUUGGUGUUACUGCGAAGGGGGGACGGAGAAGGCUAUGUUGGCCGGGCGACGGUUGUCCCGGUUUAAGCGUGUAGGCUGGUUUUCCAGGCAAAUCCGGAAAAUCAAGGCUGAGGCGUGAUGACGAGGCACUACGGUGCUGAAGCAACAAAUGCCCUGCUUCCAGGAAAAGCCUCUAAGCAUCAGGUAACAUCAAAUCGUACCCCAAACCGACACAGGUGGUCAGGUAGAGAAUACCAAGGCGCUUGAGAGAACUCGGGUAAAGGAACUAGGCAAAAUGGUGCCGUAACUUCGGGAGAAGGCACGCCGGUGGUAUGUGACGCCCUUCGCGGGUUGAGCAGAAGCCGGUCGAAGAUACCAGGCCCCUGCGACUGUUUAUUAAAAACACAGCACUGUGCAAACACGAAAGUGGACGUAUACGGUGUGACGCCUGCCCGGUGCCGGAAGGUUAAUUGAUGGGGUUAGCGCAAGCGAAGCUCUUGAUCGAAGCCCCGGUAAACGGCGGCCGUAACUAUAACGGUCCUAAGGUAGCGAAAUUCCUUGUCGGGUAAGUUCCGACCUGCACGAAUGGCGUAACGAUGGGGGCGCUGUCUCUACCCGAGACUCAGUGAAAUUGAAAUCGCCGUGAAGAUGCGGUGUAUCCGCGGCUAGACGGAAAGACCCCGUGAACCUUUACUAUAGCUUCACAGUGAACUUUGAGCAUGUUUGUGUAGGAUAGCUGGGAGGCUUUGAAACCAGGACGCCAGUUCUGGUGGAGCCAACCUUGAAAUACCAGCCUGACCUGUUUGAGGUUCUAACUUGGUCCCCUGAUCGGGGAUGAGGACACUGUGUGGUGGGUAGUUUGACUGGGGCGGUCUCCUCCCAAAGCGUAACGGAGGAGCACAAAGGUGGGCUAAGCACGGUCGGACAUCGUGCGGUUAGUGUAAUGGCACAAGCCCGCUUAACUGCGAGACAGACACGUCGAGCAGGUACGAAAGUAGGUCAUAGUGAUCCGGUGGUUCUGUAUGGAAGGGCCAUCGCUCAACGGAUAAAAGGUACU